AAAGGGGCACUCUUACGUGAACGUCGAAUCCUUCACUCCAUCCUUUUUAUCUUUCUCCAUCUUGAUUAAAAACGCAUCCACAAAAUCUUCACCUUCCUCGCUAAUGAUA
rnacentral:snoRNA from 1 species